GGGUAAUUAGCUCAGUUGGCAGAGCAGCUGACUCUUAAUCAGCGGGUCGGGGGUUCGAGCCCCUCAUUACCCA
rnacentral:tRNA from 5 species